GACGAACGCUGGCGGCGUGCUUAACACAUGCAAGUCGAACGAUGAAGCCUAGCUUGCUAGGUGGAUUAGUGGCGAACGGGUGAGUAAUACGUGAGUAACCUACCUUUAACUCUGGGAUAAGCCUGGGAAACUGGGUCUAAUACCGGAUACGACCAAUCUCCGCAUGGGGUGUUGGUGGAAAGCGUUAUGUAGUGGUUAUAGAUGGGCUCACGGCCUAUCAGCUUGUUGGUGAGGUAACGGCUCACCAAGGCGACGACGGGUAGCCGGCCUGAGAGGGUGACCGGCCACACUGGGACUGAGACACGGCCCAGACUCCUACGGGAGGCAGCAGUGGGGAAUAUUGCACAAUGGGCGCAAGCCUGAUGCAGCGACGCCGCGUGAGGGAUGACGGCCUUCGGGUUGUAAACCUCUGUUAGCAGGGAAGAAGAGAAAU
rnacentral:rRNA from 1 species